AAAGUCGUAACAAGGUUUCCGUAGGUGAACCUGCGGAAGGAUCAUUAGUGAAUUCAUUUUCUCUUUGGUUUCGGCCAAAGAGGUGCGUCUUGGAGCCCUCGUGCUCCUUGAUGUAGAUAUCACAUCUAUAACACCUGUGAACUGUCUGUCAAGAACAAGGCUUCGGCUUUGGACUUGUACAUUUUACCAAACUAUACUUUUAAAAAAUGUCAUUUUAUUAUAAACAAAUAAAACUUUUAACAACGGAUCUCUUGGCUCUC
rnacentral:misc_RNA from 1 species